rnacentral:lncRNA from 1 species
CAGCCCUCACCACAACUCCACUUCUGACAUACUCUACACGUCUUCUGAGAAUCAGUCCCGCUAUAACAACAAAAACAAUAGAGGUGGACGCAGAUGUGGACGUGGAGGCCAACAACAAAAAAACAUAAUUCAUUGAACAGAAAAUCAAAACUAAUAAAAAUUCACAAGUCAAUAUUUUUAAUCUCAUGUACUCUUUUCUAACAAAUAUAUUUGGAAAAGGUAUAUUGAGACUGAAAAUACAUUGUAUUAGCAAAUG